rnacentral:rRNA from 1 species
ACGCUCGACACCUACUGGAGGCAGCAGUCGGGAAUAUUGCGCAAUGGAGGAAACUCUGACGCAGUGACGCCGCGUGCAGGAAGAAGGUUUUCGGAUUGUAAACUGCUUUAGACAGGGAAGAAAUAAAUGACAGUACCUGUAGAAUAAGCUCCGGCUAACUACGUGUCAGCAGCCGCGGUAAUCUGAGCGGGCUGGCAAGGC